UUGGACCGAAGGUUCUGUUUCCGUGCUGUACAUCUCUAUGACUCUAUGACUGUGUAUCUGGGUUUUCUGUAUAGAUCUGGGUUAUCUGAUUUGAAUGCUGCAUGUCUGGUCUUCAGCAGGAAGUGGAUUUCUCAGUUCAUCCAAGGUUUCCGAUUGGGGAGCACCGAUCUCAUUGAAUGGUGCAACCAAAUAGCCCAUUGCUGUUCGUGGGCUUGUAGUCUUACAGUUUAAUGGUUUUAUCCAGUAACUGUUAAUGUGCAUGCUCUUUCUCCUUUUUUUUUGCAGUAUAUCAGCUCUGGCCUUUCAACCAACUCUUUGUAUUUAAAGCAAAGAAAGUGAGAUGCUGGAGAUCAGAGUCAAGCUUAGAGUGGUGCUGGAAAAGCACAGCAGGUCAGGAAGCAUCCGAGGAGCAGGUGUAUCGACAUUUCGGGCAAAAGACCUUCAUCAGGAAUUGUUUCUGUGCAUGCAUGUUAAAUAAGUCAAUAAAGAUGCAGCAUGAUAGUUUGAUCAGAUGCUGAGACAUAAA